rnacentral:misc_RNA from 1 species
GUGUUUCAAAUUAUUUUGCCAACAAAAUACAUUCAAAGUGUGGUAUGUGUGUGUAAACGUAGGCCAAUUUCUCGAGCCUACAAAAGGUGCACAUGGUGUCAAGUGAGGGUUCACUGGAAAAACCCCGGAGAGUGCACAUGCCCUUUGUUACGGGCCAGCAAGCAUCCCCGGUGCGUUCAUCGGUAAUGAUCCUUCCGCAGGUUCACCUACGGAAA